rnacentral:rRNA from 1 species
GCAAGUCGAACGGUAACGAUGCUAGCUUGCUAGCAGGCGACGAGUGGCGGACGGGUGAGUAACGCGUGGGAAUCUACCCAGAAGUUCGGGACAACCUGGUGAAAACCAGGCUAAUACCGAAUAAUAUCUACGGAUGAAAGGAGGGGCUCUUCGGACCUUUUGCUUUUGGAUGAGCCCGCGUUAGAUUAGCUAGUUGGUGGGGUAAAGGCCUACCAAGGCGACGAUCUAUAGCUGGUCUGAGAGGACGAUC